rnacentral:tRNA from 1 species
GGCCUGGUGGUCUAGUAGUAUGAUUCCUUCUUAGGGUGAUCCUGGGUAUUACAGGUUUACUGGAUUUGGAGGAGGUCCCGGGUUCAAUUCCCGGCCAGGCCC